UACGAAGGGGGCUAGCGUUGCUCGGAAUUACUGGGCGUAAAGCGCGUGUAGGCGGAGCCGCAAGUCAGAUGUGAAAUCCCCGGGCUCAACCCGGGAACUGCAUCUGAAACUGCGGUUCUCGAGUGUCGGAGAGGGCGGCGGAAUUCCUGGUGUAGAGGUGAAAUUCGUAGAUAUCAGGAGGAACACCGGUGGCGAAGGCGGCCGCCUGGACGACUACUGACGCUGAGACGCGAAAGCGUGGGGAGCAAACAGG
rnacentral:rRNA from 1 species